UACGAAGGGGGGCUAGCGUUGCUCGGAAUCACUGGGCGUAAAGGGCGCGUAGGCGGCGUUUUAAGUCGGGGGGUGAAAGCCUGUGGCUCAACCACAGAAUGGCCUUCGAUACUGGGACGCUUGAGUAUGGUAGAGGUUGGUGGAACUGCGAGUGUAGAGGUGAAAUUCGUAGAUAUUCGCAAGAACACCGGUGGCGAAGGCGGCCAACUGGACCAUUACUGACGCUGAGGCGCGAAAGCGUGGGGAGCAAACAGG
rnacentral:rRNA from 1 species